CUAAAUCAUAACAUCUUUAUUUCUGAGUAGAAAAAAAAAGGAUUGUUUGGAUAUAUCAUUCUAUUUCUAAAGGAAUGAAGUAAAAUAUUACAAAUGUUACUGUAAAGGCCCUAUGACGAUAUCUACAACUAAACAUUUGGUCCCACUUUAUAUUAGGUGGCCUUAAUUACAGUGUACUUACAUUUAAAUUAAUAAUUUGAUACAAUGCACUUAUUGUGUACAUACAUGUUUUUACAUUGUACUUAUAUUUUAAAAAAUACCUAUAUGUACUUACAUCUGUAAUUAAUUUCUGUAAUUACAUUUAUAAUUACACUGUUGACCCAUCCCUUACACCUUAACCCACCCUUAAACCUACCCAAACCACCAAACAUGUCCCUAACCAUACCCAUAUCCCACCUCAAUAGCAGAAAAGUGUUUUGCAAUACAAUAUGAACACAAUAAGUACAUUGUACUUAUUUUUUUUGAUGUAAGUACAUAGUAGUUAAGGCCACCUAAUAUAAAGUGUAACCAAACAUUUUUAUAAUUUUAUGAUAAUAUGGAAGUUUACACCACCACUAUAACUAUAACAACCCAAAGGAACAAUUAUUCUCAUUACUCAUUUAUCUUUUUUUUUUUUUUAAACAGCAGUUCAGAUUUUUGUAUUUACUAUGGUGUUUAUCAAACAACACCAACUCAUAACAGCACUGGGCAGGUGACCAAAAACACCAAAAACAAACCAAAAAAAAAAAAAAAAUCUUAUUGGUUUCUUCGCAAUGCAAUAUAAAAUAUAUUAGAACCCCACUCUUAAAAAAAAAAGAAAAAAAAGCUGCACUAAUGGCAUGCAAAUGAAGAGUUCAGAUGCAAAAGCCUUGACCUUUAACCCUUUGAUACACAACAUGGGUCUAAAGUGAGUUUACUUUUUCUAUAUCUUUGCAAGAAAUUAAUUUCAUCAUUCAGAAUUCCAGGAAUUCCUCAAUUAACUUCGUUUUGAUCAUCAUAAAUUCUUAUUUUAUUUUUUCUGUCUUACCUUUUGAACAAAAAUCGUUUUUUGUGUCACUACCCUUCUAAUGCACAACAUGGGUCUAAAAUGACCCGUUUUCCUUUCCUAUGUUAUUUCAGAUAUGGAUGAGUGUUUCUUUGCUGAAUCUCUGGAAGAAAUGUUUUUCUAUCAUUUAUUAAUCCAGAUAGUCUUUAAAUAUGUUGAUUUUGACUUCCACAAAUCAUUUUGUUUAUUUUUCCUUCCUUAUUUUGUAAACAAACACGGUUUUUGGAUUUCUACAUCAGUUUUACACACAUGGGUCUAAAAUGACCCAUAUUCAUUUCCUAUGUUAUUUCAAUCAUGCCUGAGUGAUUCCUUGACCUUGACCUUGAAAUCUAUUACUAAUGAGACAGAGGCACAUGUCCAAUACUAUAUUAACUAGCUUGUUGUUGACAUAUUUUAUUUUAGCGAACUAAUGUUAGCUAGGUCAACAAAAUAAAAGUCAAAAUAAUACGUUAUUAUAUACAAGUAUAUUUCAUUGCUGUCAGGCAGAAACCUGAUAUCUCCACAUUUUUUUGUUGUUGUCAUAAAUCAGUGCUAUUGGCCACCCUUUAUGUCUGUCAGUGUUCCUGAAAAGUAAUGGUUUUGGACAUACAAGUUUUCUGUCUGACAGCGACAUUAUAUAAUCAGUAUAUACAUGAUCGACUGCUUGUUGUGCACUCUUUAUCCAGAGUGUUAGUUUGGCUGAUCCCAGUCAUUCUAGAUUAACGGCUGAAAUUUUUGUAGCGAUGCUGCAUGAUAAGGAAGAUCAGGCAAUUCUUAGUCCUGAUUCAGAGUCUGAAAUAUAUGAUGCUGAUGACCUAUACUAUGUGCCACAGGGUCAAUCUGGAGCUGUGGGUGUAAAUCCAGCUCUCCUAGAUGAAGAAGACUCAUUUGAAGUGACUGUCAUACGUGCAAGCCAUUCCGGCGGAUGACGUAGGACAUGUGCGUUGUAUACGCGUAACAAGGACACCUUAAAAUAAGUGUUGUGUCUACCAUCUGAAACUCUUCCAGCUGAUGAUGAUCCUCUGACAGGUGGAGUUUCACAGCCACGAUAUAAAGCAGAGGAUCAUCCAAGGAAAAGAGAAAUAAAAGCAAAAUUUUAUUGUAAUUAUAUCUAGUUGUAUUGUAACUUUAUCUAUGUCUAGAACAGUAAAGUUUUGUUUAAACUCCCAAACCACUCACCUUGGCAU